AUGGAAAAGAAAUCGCUCUUCUCCAACUUCUGUACUUUUUUUUCGUUCAUUAUUGUUUAGAUCUUCUCACACACACACUCGCACGCUUGUUGUCGUCGCUUGAGCGCGCGCUGUGUGCUGCGGUGUCUUGACCUCUCGCUGUCUUUCGCUGUUUGCGUCCUCGUCUGCUUUGCCUUUUCGUUGUGUCCCUCAGGUGUAGGCGACGACAAGUCAGGAGCAACGACAGACGCGAAGAACAACGGCCGAACAAGGUAGCCACAGGGGACGGGACGAAACCAAAAGAGAACGCAACACACACUCACACACAGACGGUACGGUAUACGCGCCCACGCCGCUGUACCCUCACCCUCUCUUUCUCUCCCUCCCCGAAAGCGGCGACGCCACACUGUCUCUCCGCGCCGUUACCUUGUCUUUCCUCCAUCCAUCCUUUUUUUUUGUGCUCGCUUGCCUUUUAGGCGUUCCUUUCUCUCUUUUUGAUCUUUACUGUUUUGUUUUGUUUGAUUCGCCAACUAGUCCGCGCCCACUUUUACGCCACAGGGUUUCCCUCCACAAACUUCACCAAGCCUAGUCCAGCCCACUCCCGUGUCGCUCUCGCUCUGUGCUUGCUUUUGUCUUUGUGCCUUUUCUGCAAACAACAACCAUCAGACACACAUACACACACACACCAAAGAAAGGUGGGAAAACAUAUGUAAAGCAGAAGGACGCCACACAAACGUGGAAAAAAGAAAACAACAUAACAGCAACCUGAGAGCAAAGUCGGUAAGGCUUCAGGUCUGCGCAGCGCUCGGUGCUUAAGAGAAUUCUCUAUCUACACAUCUGUAUCUAUCUAGGCGAAGGAGUGGGCCUUUCAACUUUCUGUUUUUUUUUUUCGUGGUUUCGUUUCGUUUCGGGUCUUUGUAAAACACCAACCAACCAACCAACCAAACAACCAACCAACCAAGCGCGCGCAAACACACACAAAGAAAGCGAAAGAAGCUAGACAUACUGGCACAGACGACUUGCUGAUGUGAUACCGCGAAGACAAACCACCGCCCUACAAGCCCCCCCCCCUGCCACCGCCCCCGCAGAGAGAGAACGAAAGCCAAAAAAAAAUAGCAAACUUAACCCAUCAAGUCCGAAGCGCCUUUCUUUUCGUUUUACUUUUCUAGUGUCUUGAUCGCGCACCACCAGACAUCUUCACCUAUACGGGCGACGUAACGCUUCUGCUUCGAACGAAGAGAAAAUUUAGGAAAGAAAAAUAAAAGGCGUGCACAGCUCUGUCUUUCUACUCGUCUUACUCCUCUAUAUAUACCUCUCUCUCUCUUCGCUUAGCCCUGCCUCACUCCCUGCCCCCUCCCCACGCAUUGCACGGGUAGCGUGUUGCUCCACACAUCCGACGACGGCAAACGCACCAAGUCGAAGGGCGGAAAACAAAAAGGCCGUGUCUUGCGUGGCAUUUUGUGUUGGACCUCACUCACUCAGCGUGUCCGUGCGCGAACGCGAAGGAUCGACUUUCUGGCUGUUUUGAUUCUUUUUUUUUCGCGCUUCUCCCUGCGAUCCUCUUGUUUUCCCGUUCCCCCUCCCCCUGACUCCUCUCGUUUUCUCCUUUUCUUCGGGCACACGUCUGCUCGCGUGUCUGUGUGUCCGUGAGAGCCUGGCCGAGCUUGCGUUUUGUUUUCCAAAAGUUCUGCUCAUCGAGUUGGGCCGUUGUCCUGGUUGUGUCUUGAACAAGGCAACUCGAGAGGGCGUUUUCGUGUGUUCUUGUGCCGGUACAAUCACCGCUCUGAUCUAGCUGAGCGCGCGCCGAACGAUAAAGGAUACACGCCGCCUACAAACGGCACGCCCCAGACGCAUCCCCACUACUCAUCGAGCGAAACGAACAACAAAUAAAAAAAACAGGAAGUGCAGCGAAUUCGUGUCAAGGCGUCUUGGGCUAAUCCUUCUGCCCCCUUUCCUUUGUACUUUCCGUUAGGAAGCACUUCUUUCGCUGUACGUUAUCGCUCUGUUUUGUCUGUGUGUUCCUCCAAACACGUCCAUUUUUUUGUUUGGUUUUACGCAUCAACUUCCUCGCGGGUUUUCCAUCUUCAAAGCAACUCUCUUUUUUCCCGUUUUUGUUUCGUCUUGGGCUCGGCUCGCCGUCUCGCCCCCUCCCCCUCCUCUCCUCUGCCUUUCUCUUGUUUCCUCUUUUUUUUGCUGUUGUUGUUGCGGCUUCUGUUUGGAAGCUGAAGGGUGGGUGAUAGUGUGUGCCCCUACCCUCCUUCUCUUCUUUGUUUUUUUUUUGUUGCUUCCCGCUCUCCAAGUCUUCUGGUUGUGCCGUUUAUCACUCCGCCCUGUGAAUUGUGGCUGCGAUUCUUUUCGGCCCUAUAGAUCGACGGCGUGUGCGUUGGCCCGUGCGUUUGUCUCCGACUUCUCCCCUUCCGGCCCCUUCACCCGAAAGAAAAAAACAAACGGCUAAAAAAAGAUUGAGUCCUGCUAACGUUUUUUUUUUCAUUGUACUCUUUCAACUGCAGGUGACGCCGCCUUUGAUCACGUUUUUGGAUUUCUUCGACCUCUGCCCUCUCUUCGUUCUUUAUUUCGGCUUCAGCAGGUGAUUGUGUCUGUGUGUGUGCCGUUCUGUCUCUCUCCCCCACCCCGCGUCUUCUGAGGGCUGUUGUUGUGUGCUCCUGACGUAAAGCUGAUAUCCGCUUGCUUGCUGCCCUCUUUUACUCCGAUUUUUUUUGGCCCUUUUUUGGUUGACGCAGGCUACGUGUGUCAGUUUGACGCGUUUCGGUGUCUCCCUCUUGUCGAGUGUUGAUCUCUCCCGCGUUUGUCGUUUGUUGUCUGCCUCUGUCUGAGCGCUCACUCAACUCCCUCUUUUUUGCCCCUCUCUCCCCCCUCUUCUCUCUCCCCUCGCCGCCUCCUCUCCUCUCUCCCUGCCACACCACAGAAGCGCCCACACAGGACGUUUCAUCUGCGCACCGCUCGUUUUUUUUGUGUGGUGUUGUAGUUUCUUCUCGCUUUUCAAUCGAAAACCUCUGCCUCUUCCACCUUCCGAGAGGUGAGCAGGGCAUACAACAAGGAAGCAGCGCUCCGUCAAACACGCAAGAUUCCCUCCCCCUCCCUCGUCUUCUCUUGCACGGUUAACUCAUCCAUAACAACCGAAUCGGCAAACGCGAGUGGAGGACGAUAAAAAAAAGCAAAAGCUAGAGGGGAAAACAAAGAACAGCGGAGAACGCAGUGCAGCACUGAGUGUGUACUCACCCACCCACCCCCCACACCUACACACACACAUAUACCCAAGUAGUGGACUGCCACCCAACACGCAACCCUUAACAAGGCAUCGUCUGGCAACACAGGCGCUGAAGCUCUCAGAAGCUAGUCAAGCUUUCGGUGUGUUCGUGAGGCACUUGCAGAGCGCCUGUGCUCUCCAUUUUUUCCUUUCACACUCCUGCUGCUUGUUUGUGCGCGGUGCCCCUCUGCUCCUCGCCCACUCGCUCUGUCUCUGUUUCGCCCCGAUAGCAGUCCUCCCCCACACCCCACUGCUCGUACAGGUGCGCCGUGCAGCCUUGUCCACGAGCACGUGCCUUUUUUUUUUCGGACUCUGCGACUGCGAUCUGCUUCUCGGCCGUUCGCUGUUUUUCCUUUUUGCCGUAUUUGUUUUCGCUCUUCUUCGACACGUUUCUGCGUUCCACUUGCACAUCUUAGGGGGUUUCCUCUCCGACUCGGCUCUCUCCGGCUCUUCGGCCAGGUGCCCUUCUUUCUCGGCUUGGCCGGCACGGAGGUGGCACGCAAACACCGCACCUUCACGGAGGCACUUUUUCUCUUCCCUCCCCCUGACACACGACCUUCCUCUUUUCUGCCGUCGUGCGUCUCUUUUCAGAAGGGUACGCGCGUUUCUCCGGGCGUGCAUUGCUGCUGACAAGGGACGCGAUAAAGGAAGUGCCCCCCCCCCCCCCCACUCCCACCCACCACGAUCACGACCGCCACAAUGACGAGCUUCUGGCGGCAGUACGGCAUUCAGCUGUACGGGUUUCUGGUCAAGACAUUCCUGCAGCGAUGGCGUAUGCCCGUCUCCACGACGGUGGAGAUCCUUCUCCCUUGCCUCUUCACCAUUCUGAUGUCCGUUGCCUACUGGGUGUCGGGCAGUUCGACCGUGCCGGCGCAGAUGUACGACGGCGGUGUGUACGUGCCGCUGAACAUGACGGACUUUUUGUCGUAUUUCAUGUGCAAGAAGAUGGGGUCAAUGCUGAGGGUGCCGUGGUACCCGUGCCCGCCUGGGAUGAACGCAUCGUCUCUCACGUGUCUGUCGCUCAUCGGCAACGGCAAUGAGAUUUGCAUCCAGAACGCCUUCUACACGGUGCUGUCCCACAUGCUGUACGGCAUGUACUAUGGCAGUGGCCCGUUCGGCCUGAACACUAUGGACGGCCACCUCACGCUCGCGGCCUUGGUGACCGAGGCGACACGCAAGGAAAACCCAACCUUCUUUGGUCGGGGUGGUAGGGACAGCCUGUCGCACUAUGGCAAUCUGCUGGUGUCGAGCAACUCGCCUGCGCUGGCGCAAAACUUCAUGACGUUCUGCCGCCAAAGCAGCGGCAUGUGCGGCGAGGUACUCUAUGACACACCCUUCACUUCACUGGCUAGUGCCAAGGAGUACGCGGCCACCAACGAGGACACCGUCUGGGCCAUUGUCGACCUUCCGACGGCCUCCCUCGCGUCCAACGGCGAGGCAGAGUUCACCAUCAGCAUGAACUUCACGGCGACUGCGCCGACGGAGAAGGAGCCACAGAAGAGCCUCUUCACGCGCGGCCUUGGCGCCAACGACGGCAGCGACGGCUACGUGCUCUACUGGGCCAGCGGCUUCUUGACGCUGCAGACAUUCGUGCACGAGUUCUACUUGGCGCAGGCGCUGAGCACCCACAACAUUACUGGCCCUUCCACUUACUACACGGAUCCCAGCUCCGACGUGGAGGGCAUCAGCGCGUACCUCACGCAGUACGGCUCCACCUUAAUCCCGAUGCCGACGCCUUCGCGCUACAACAACGCGUUCCUGACGAAGUGGGCCUACUACAUGCCACUGCUCGCCGUGAUGGCUGUUCUGUAUCCGACUUCGCGCCUCGUGAUGCUGAUCGUCGUUGAGAAGUACAAUGGCAUUCGCGAGGCGAUGCUGAUCAUGGGCCUGCAUCCGUCCUGCAUGUUUUUUGGGUGGUACUCCUCCACGCUCAUCAUGGACUUGGUCUCCUCGCUGCUCGCCGCCAUGUUUCUCAAGAUCGGCUUCCUCGACAAGGUGGACUACGGCCUCCUCGUGCUGCUCUACUUCUCCUUCAUGCAGCAGAACACAGCCCUGUGCUUCUUCAUCAGCUCCAUCUUCCGCAACCCACGCGUGGCGAGCUGGUUUAUUGCGUUUGUGCUGUUCGUGUUCGCGAUCCCGUCUUUCUCCUUCCCGACCGGCAUGACGGACAUUCAGAAGAUUUUCUGCUGCCUGGUCCCCUGCAUCGGCUACAUUCAGGCAUUCAAUAUAAUGCUGAACUACGUAUCCUUCGGCUGGCAAUUUGGGUGGUCGCAGGCGCGCGCUGGCUACUUCAACUUCUCCAUCGCGGUCGGCAUGAUGUGGGCCUCGUUUGGUGUGCUGAUGCUCCUCAGCUUCUACUUGGACCGUGUCUCCUGCGGCGCCGUCGGCCGCCGUGCCCACCCCUUGUUCUUCCUCAUGCCGCUGGUGAACCGCUUCCGCAAGACCAGGGCGCCGCUGGUCAAGAUGUGGGACAUGGGCAAGCCGAUUCGCCCCGGUUCUCUGGUCGAGCGUGCCAUCGACGACGACGAGCCGCACGGCGCGUCAUUUGCGAGCUGCUCUUUGAAGAAGGACAGCAAGGAGUUGCCACAGGACAACAGCCGACUCAUCGAGCACUAUCAUGACGUCGUCAGCACACAGGACCCCGCUGUCGCCGCCGUCUUCCAUCGCCUGCGCAAGGUCUACGUUGGCGGCGGCAUCCUCGGCUUCUUGUACACGUACUUCACAGGGUUGUUCCGCGAUGGCGACCGCAUCGUCGCGCUGGACGGCGUGACGUUCGCGAUGCGCACCGGCGAGGUGAGCGUGCUGCUCGGCCCCAACGGUGCCGGCAAGUCCACGAUCAUGGGUGUGGCGACCGGCAUGGUGAACCCCACGAACGGCGAUGUUUACGUGCGUGGCUACAACGCCCGCACACACCUUGAUGAGUGCAGGCAGAACAUCGGGUAUUGCCCCCAACGAGAUAUCGUAUGGCCUCUGCUGACGGUGGAGGAGCACAUCACCUUCUACGCGCGCAUGAAAGGCUCCCACUCAGUGAACGUGCAGGAGAAGGUGGAUUAUGUGGUGGACCUCCUCGACCUGCAUGAGAAGCGCCACUGCAAAGCAAGCAAGCUGUCGAGUGGCCAGCGCCGGCGUCUGUGCGUCGCGAUCGCCAUGGUCGGCGACUCCGCCGUGCUGUUUCUCGACGAGCCCACGGCCGGCAUGGACAUCAAGGGUCGCAAGAUCGUGUACGAAGCCCUGAACCGCACCCGCACCCAGCGUAGCGUGCUGAUCUCCACUCACCUUCUCGACGAGGCCGACCGCAUUGCCGACCGAGUGCUCAUCGUGAACAAGGGCCUGCUGUGCGCGGAGGGCUCGGCGAUGUACCUCAAGUCGCAGAUGGAGGUCGGGUACGUGGUGACGUGCCUACUGGAGAGCAACAUGAGCACAACAGAGGAAAACUGCGCUGCCGAAGGGCUGGUGAACUUUGUGCGCGCCGAGAGCUACGCGGCGCAGCGGGUCGGCGACAGCAGCAACGAGGGGUGCGUGGUGCUGGGGGUGCAGCGGCGCGGGCGCGAGGUGUCUUUCCGCUUCCCGAUGACCCUCCUCAGCUCAGCCGGCAUGACGCUUCUUUCCGUGAUUCAGCUCAACAGCGAGCGGUUGCGCCUGCGCAACGUCGCGCUCAACCUGGCGACGCUCGAAGACGUCUUCUUCACCGUCACUUGCACCGCACCACUCAUGUCAAGCGUGACAGACGGCGAGCUUGUCGGCGGGCGAGGGGACGAAGGCGAUGCGCUGUCGAUCCCUGACACACCGUCGACUAGCGCUGACCUCUACGAGGAGAAGACGGGUUGCUUCUUCGUCUUCUGCCGGCACUUCCGCGCGCUCUUCCUCAAGCGGCUGCACUAUGCCCAGCGCGACAUCAAGCUGCUUGUCUAUCAAGUGGUGCUACCGAUCAUCUUUCUGCUCCUGUCGCUGUUCAUCAGCCUUGUACGAGACCCGAGCCAGCCCGCGCUGCGGCUCGACAUGACUAUGUACGAUGACUACGCCUCCCACCCAUCGCAGGUGAUGACGGCGUACUCUAACUUCUCCGGCUACGUGCAGAACAUGACCCGCUACCCCAUGAAUGUCACGAACGCCUUCUGCCUCAGUGCAAACCUGCCCGACAACGUCUGGGGCUCGUACUACCUGACCGACUUCCGUGAGAUGCCGUCUGGCUUGCCCAACGUGUCCAACGCCAUGAGCCGGCUGCUCCUGAGCGAAAUCAUGUCGCACAAGGAUCCGCGCUACGUUUCCGUGGCGCCGGUAGGAGCGGUGUUCCAGAAGGGUGUGCCGAAGAAAACCCCAACGCUGCUGCACAACACGUCUUACAGCCACUCCGCUCCGCAGGGUGUGAGCGCGCUUUACCACCUCGCCAUGUAUCAGCUCUUCGGCUCCGCCGUGCCGACACCCACCGCCGUCAACUCUCCCAUGAUGCUUGGCGAGUUUGAAAAGACGCUGGUGACAGCCAACAAGCAGGUCAUGGUUGGCAUCUUCAUCAUUCUGCCCUUCAUCUUUAUUCCGUCCAACACGAUCUCCUACAUCGUCGAGGAGAAGGAGUCCGGCGCCCGCCACAUGCAGUGGCUCUCCGGCGCCAAUGUCGUGGCGUACUGGCUGAGCAGCUUUGUGUUCGACUUUGCGAGCUACCUCGUGACGCAGAUCUUGGCCUUUAUCAUCUUCCUCAUCUUCAAUCGAACCGAGUUCAUCGGCAAGGACAACGUCGGCGCCGCCGUUGUGCUCUUCUUUUUUUUCGGCCUGACGUCGAUCCCGUUCAGCUACUUCAUGAGCUUCUUCUUCCGCUCCAGCUUCACGGCACAGUCCGUCGUCUUUUGCAUCAACUUCACCUUCGGCUUCCUGUGGGUGACGCUGGAGUCGAUGAUCGCCGAGCAUGCGCUGCGGUUCGCCGAGGUGGUGACCUACAUCCUUCGCAUCAUCCCAGCCGUGAGCUUCGGCGAGUCCAUGUUCGUGCUCUCGGGCGCGCAGCUGGCGAACUUGAUGUUCCCGAACCGCGCCAAGAAAAGCCUGUUUUCGCUGCUGCACUUUAGCGAGACAGGAAGCCCCACAGGCGGCAUCGGAACAGGCCUCAUCUACAUGUCUUGCGUUGCUGUGGCCUGCACUGUGGCACUCGUGAUUCUCGAGUACCUGCGGCUGCAGCGCCUCGACUCCGCCUUCACGCAGUGCUGCACAAGACCGAACAGCGAGGACGAGGAGGAGCACCGCCGCCUCGAGGAGGCAGAUCCGUCCGUGAAGCAGGAGGAGGACUACGUGUGCGCAGAUAAGACAGGGCCCGAGUCGACCCGCAUUGCGGUGCAGCACCUCAGCAAGCGCUACCUCGGCGCCGAGCACGCCGCUCUCCAGGACAUCUCGUUCGGCGUGAAAGAAGGCGAGGUGAUGGGUUUGCUGGGGCUUAACGGCGCCGGCAAGACGACGGCAGUGAGCAUCCUCGCAGGUGAGGUGGUCGCGACUAGCGGCGAGGCGUUUGUGAACCACUACGCGGUGCAGUCGAUGGAGAGCCGCCCCUUUGUGGGCUACUGCCCGCAGUACGACGCGCUGCUGAGCAAUCUCAGCGCCGAGGAGCACCUCUGGCUGUAUGCCCGCCUGCGCUCCAUCAAGGAAAAGCACAUCAGGGGCGAGGUGCACGUGCUGCUCAAAGAGCUGGGCCUGUACCCGUUCCGCAACCAGCCUGCCGCGUCCCUGAGCGGCGGCAACAAGCGCCGACUGUCCCUCGCCAUUGCGCUGGUCGGCCACACAACGAGUGUGCUGCUGGACGAGCCGACGUCGGGCAUGGAUGCUGUGGCGCGUGCACAGACGUGCGACAUAGUGCGACGUCUCACGGCUCAGAAAUCCGUGGUGCUGACCACGCACCGUCUGGACGAGGUCGAGGCUCUGGCCGACCGCGUCGCUUUCGUCGUGCGAGGCAACCUGCGCUGCGUCGGCACGCCACAGGAGCUGAAGAACGCGUACAACAAGACUGCCGCCUACACGCUCAAUGUGCUCUUCCCCCAUACGGUGCAGUUGCAGGACGCGGACACAACCCUGGUGGAGAAGGUGCGCAGCUACGUGCUCGACACCAUCACCGCCACAGCAGAUGUGAAUGCGCAGCAGAUGGCUCGGUGCGAGGUGGUGGAGGUGCACCCGUGCUCAAUGCAGAUGACUGUGAACGGCGACCUCCAUUCUAUCUGCGUCGCCGUUGCGCACAUGCAGGCGGGUCAGGCAAGCGGCAUUCCGGCGACGACGUACGUCAGCGUGAGCCAGCCGACGCUGGAGGACAUUCUUCUUCUCCAUUAGGAACGCUGCAACGCAGAGACGACACUUCCCGCCACAUGUGCUCUGGCUGUCAUUCAUGUGUUCACGCCUCUCUCCGCUUGCCGCUUCCCUUUUACCUUCGUCGUCGUCCCGUGCGCAGGCCCUCCCCCUCCCCCGCCCCG
rnacentral:misc_RNA from 1 species